rnacentral:rRNA from 1 species
CAGGUGCUGCAUGGCUGUCGUCAGCUCGUGUUGUGAAAUGUUGGGUUAAGUCCCGCAACGAGCGCAACCCUUAUCCUUUGUUGCCAGCGAUUCGGUCGGGAACUCAAAGGAGACUGCCGGUGAUAAACCGGAGGAAGGUGGGGAUGACGUCAAGUCAUCAUGGCCCUUACGAGUAGGGCUACACACGUGCUACAAUGGCGCAUACAAAGAGAAGCGACCUCGCGAGAGCAAGCGGACCUCACAAAGUGCGUCGUAGUCCGGAUCGGAGUCUGCAACUCGACUCCGUGAAGUCGGAAUCGCUAGUAAUCGUGGAUCAGAAUGCCACGGUGAAUACGUUCCCGGGCCUUGUACACACCGCCCGUCACACCAUGGGAGUGGCGAAGCGAAAAGAAGUAG